rnacentral:lncRNA from 1 species
UGACAGUGUGCAGAAAGAGAGAGAGAGGUCAGUCCUGACAGUGCCCAGAGAGAGAGACGGGUCAGUAGUAACAGUGCCCAGAGAGAGAGACAGGUCAGUACUGACAGUACCCAGAGAGCGAGACGGGUCAGUAGUAAUAGUGCCCAGAGAGAGAGACGGGUCAGUGGUGACAGCACCCAGAGAGAGAGACGGGUCAGUAGUGACAGUCCCCCGAGAGAGAGAGACGGGUCAGCAGUGACAGUACCCAGAGAGAGAGACGGGUCAGUAGUAACAGUACCCAGAGAGAGAGACAGGUCAGUACUGACAGUACCCAGAGAGAGAGACGGGUCAGCGGUGACAGUCCCCCGAGAGAGAGAGACGGGUCAGCAGUGACAGUACCCAGAGAGAGAGACGGGUCAGUAGUAACAGUGCCCAGAGAGAGAGACAGGUCAGUACUGACAGUACCCAGAGAGUGAGACGGGUCAGUAGUAACAGUGCCCAGAGAGAGAGAAGGGUCAGUACUGACAGUACCCAGAGAGAGAGACGGGUCAGCGGUGACAGUCCCCAGAGAGAGAGAGAGACUGGUCGGCGCUGACAGUACCCCCAGAGAGCGAGACGGGUCAGCAGUAACAGUACCCAGAGAGAGAGACAGGUCAGUACUGACAGUACCCAGAGAGAGAGACGGGUCAGUAGUAACAGUGCCCAGAGAGAGAGACAGGUCAGUGGUGACAGUCCCCAGAGAGAGAGACGGGUCAGCAGUGACAGUCCCCCGAGAGAGAGAGACGGGUCAGUAGUGACAGUCCCCCCAGAGAGAGAGACGGGUCAGCAGUGACAGUCCCCCGAGAGCGAGACGGGUCAGCGGUGACAGUCCCCCGAGAGAGAGAGACGGGUCAGCAGUGACAGACCCCAGAGAGAGAGAUGGGUCAGUAGUAACAGUACCCAGAGAGAGAGACGGGUCAGCGGUGACAGUCCCCCGAGAGAGAGAGACGGGUCGGCGCUGACAGACCCCCGAGAGCCAGCCCCCGGCCUCAGUCCUGCCUGUGGUUGGGGGCGCCGGCGCUGGGGCUGCCCUGGGGCUCGGAGAAGAGCCUCAGCUUGCUGUGCAGCUGGGCGCCCAGGUAGGCGCAGUCCUGGGGGUCCAGCGAGUGCCCCAGGCCGAGGUAGGCCGUCAGGCCGGCGGCCAGCAGCAGGCGGUC